GAGUUUGCGGCGCGCGCGGCUUAGGGGAGCAUGUGUGUGAGAGAGGUUGGGAGGGGAACCUGCAGAAUGAAAACCCCUGGGGGCUUAGGCCGGCUCCGGCCGGGGUCAGGGCACUCCAAGGCAGGAAUUCCAUCUGCGGAUCGCGUGCAUCUGGUACCACGGUUGGGAAGACUGAGCCCCCCACCCCACCCCAUGCACAGCGGCGGGCUGCAGAGACCUGCAGUACAGACACAAAGCAAAGGCGGGUCACGAAUGCGCAGACGCCAAGCAUCCUUAUCGAGACCAGACUGCAGUGGCUGGGUGAGGGGCCUGGUAGUCAUCUGACUGCCAAUUAAUACCGUGGCGACGACUCGACUGAAUAAUCGCCGCCCUUGGACAGGGUGUUUAAACUUAGCUAUACUGACUAAUCGCUCUCUAAUAAACCACUAAAAGUUACACUUUGAA
rnacentral:lncRNA from 1 species